UGAGUACGAGACGCUGAGGCGUCGAAGUAGUGGAUGUCAUACUUCCAAGAAAAGCUUGCACUGUCAUAAAUGAAAAAUGCCUGUACCAUAACCGACACAGGUGGGUAAGUAGAGUAUACUAAGGGGCGCGAGAUAACUCUCUCUAAGGAACUCGGCAAAAUAACUCCGUAACUUCGGGAGAAGGAGCGCCUUAUUCUUAAGGUUGCAAUAACAAGAUCCAAGCAACUGUUUAUCAAAAACACAGGUCUCCGCUAAGUCGUAAGACGAUGUAUGGGGGCUGACGCCUGCCCAGUGCCAGAAGGUUAAAGAAGUCGGUUAGCAAUAGCAAAGCUGGUAACUGAAGCCCUGGUGAACGGCGGCCGUAACGAUAACGGUCCUAAGGUAGCGAAAUUCCUUGUCGGGUAAGUUCCGACCCGCACGAAAGGCGUAAUGAUUUGGAUGCCGUCUCGGAGAGGGGCUCGGUGAAAUAGACUUGUCUGUGAAGAUGCGGACUACCUGCACCAGGACAGAAAGACCCUAUGAAGCUUUACUGUAACUUGAAAUUGAAAUUGGACUUUAUUCGCGCAGUAUAGGUGGGAGGCGUUGAUUAUAAUCUUGUGGGAUUAUUGGAGCCAUCAGUGAGAUACCACUCUUGUAAUGUUAGAUUUCUAACUUUGAAUCAUUAUCUGGUCAAAGGACAGUUUCAGGCGGGCAGAUUGACUGGGGCGGUCGCCUCCUAAACGGUAACGGAGGCGUACAAAGGUUUCCUCUGAACGGUUAGAAAUCGUAUCUAGAGUGUAAAGGCAUAAGGAAGCUUGACUGUGAGACCUACAAGUCGAGCAGGGACGAAAGUCGGUCUUAGUGAUCUGACGGUACUGAGUGGAAAGGCCGUCACUCAACGGAUAAAAGUUACUCUAGGAUAACAGGCUGAUCUCCCCCAAGAGUUCACAUCGACGGGGAGGUUUGGCACCUCGAUGUCGGCUCAUCGCAUCCUGGGGCGGUAGUACGUCCCAAGGGUUGGGCUGUUCGCCCAUGAAAGCGGUACGCGAGCUGGGUUCAGAACGUCGUGAGACAGUUCGGUCCAUAUCCGGUGUAGGCGCUAGAAUAUUGAGAGGAGCCUUCUUUAGUACGAGAGGACCGAGAAGGACAUACCUCUGGUGUACCAGUUAUCGUGCCAACGGUAAACGCUGGGUAGCUAUGUAUGGAGUGGAUAACCGCUGAAAGCAUCUAAGUGGGAAGCCCACCUCAAGAUAAGUAUUCUCAUCACGUAAGUGAGUAAGGUCACGGUAAGACUAACCGUUUGAUAGGCAUUAAGUGUAAGUACAGUAAUGUAUGUGCUGAGAUGUCCUAAUAGACCGAGGACUU
rnacentral:rRNA from 1 species